AUUGAACGCUGGCGGCAGGCCUAACACAUGCAAGUCGAGCGGAGCGGCGGACGAGUGAGUAAUGCCUAGGAAUCUGCCUGGUCGUGGGGGAUAACGUCCGGAAACGGGCGAUAAUAGCGCAUACUAUCAGUUGCGCCUAGGUCGGAUUAGCUAGUUGGUGGGGUAAAGGCCUACCAAGGCGACGAACCGUAACUGGUCUGAGAGGAUGAACAGUCACACUGGAACGGAGACACGGUCCAGACUCCUACGGGAGGCAGCAGUGGGGAAUAUUGGACAAUGGGCGAAAGCCUGAUCCAGCCAUGCCGCGUGUGUGAAGAAGGUCUUCGGAUUGUAAAGCACUUUAAGUUGGGAGGCGUUACCAACAGAAUAAGCACCGGCUAACUUCGUGCCAGCAGCCGCGGUAAUUC
rnacentral:rRNA from 1 species